GCGUGCCGCCGGUCGCGCUCGCCGCCGCCCCGCUCGGCGCACCCACCUCGCUCGAGGUUGGGCGAGCGCGGAAGUAGAGUUCGGGACGGCGGAUCGGAAUCCAUCGACCGAUUCUCUCUUUCUCUCCUCUCCCUUGGAUUCCUGUAGGCGGUGGAUCAAUCUUGCCUUCGUGGUGGCGGCAGAACGAGCGCCGUGAGAUCAGGUGGACCUGCUUCUGAUUCCUCCUGGUGCUUGGGACGUUUUCGGCUAGAUUGAUUUACUAGCUACGUCCAAGCAGGCCACUGGAUUGAUUUCAUGAGGCUUACUAGCUACGUCCCAAGCAGGCCAAUCCAAUAUGUUGAUCAAUUUGAUUGUUCUGGCUGGAGGUCAGGAGGUCAGAAGGUGCGUCCUUCACACUAAAUUGUACCCGAAGUUCUACAAUUAGUGCACUGCGGGAGCGUGUACUGCGACUAUUUCUGCACUGCCGAUGAAGGCUUGAUCUUUCCCACAGGUCCACCUUCUUUACCUUUCCGUUCUUUGAACUGGAUAAGUUCUGAUAUUCUAACAUUGAUGGAAAAUCAUUAUCUUCUGUAAAGCCACAUUUCAUUUUAUGAUUUUUAGCAGAAGCUCGCUUCGAGGUCUUGGUGUGGGGCUGCUGGGGAAGGGAAUGUCCUUCUACUUAGUGAAAGUCGUUGUUGCUGAGGCUGAUUUUACCUUCUUUCUAAGUGUUCUAUUUUAUUAGUGCAAUUGGUUCGAGUUAAACUAACAUCCAUCGUACAAAUAUUUGUGGGACAUAUUCAGGUAAAUUUACCAUGUUCUGUUUUCAUUACCCAGCGCUAAAAUGUAGAUGUUAUGAUGACCAAUGACCAUAAACUUUUCUCAAGAAAUCUGGAAAGAAGCGAGGAUUCUCAAGUAAGAUAAGUCUGCUUACAAAAAUUUGCCUACUGGAAAGUAGAUAAGAGACUCAUGAAGUAAGAAUACAUGCCUACAUAUUAUACAUAGCAGGCUUCUGACUUCUCUGAUUCUGCAAGCCUUGAGGCUGUGAAACAUCUAUGCUAGGUCGCCACACUUCUGCCACCUUCAUUUGAUGAGGUUCAGCGUUCACUACUAUGAAAGAAGAAGGCAUAUAUUUUCCUUGUGGAAUUUCCAGUAGAAUGGCAGUGAGAACGAGUAAAAAUCUACAACAGUAUGACUGUAUGGUUCUCACUCAAAGUAGAGGCCCAACAAACUUUUUUGAAGUAGGAGUCGAAAACUACAAAUCCAUCUAUUCCUAGAAUGGAGCUGGUUGGAGUUGAGCCUACAAUUGAGCGGGUAGUUCGGUGGCACCGACAUCCAGCUGAAAGUUUUAUAGGAGGGUUAGUAAAGCAAAUUUGUUCAUGAGGAAAUGUGCCAGCAAAACAUUGAGUCAGAGUGCAAGACAAAUGCUCUUAACAGUUUUUUUGGUCGCUUUUCUUUAAUUACAAUUCUUAUUAUUUUUAGUUGGCAUUGAUGUACAAAAGAAAAUCCUGUGCCUUUUUUGUCUCUCAUUGACCAUUGUAUUUUUGAGUCAUAUCAGUCUAUGUAAAAGAAUUCAGUACCUUAUGUUUUGUAUAUUUGGAAAUGUCUAAAGGCGUGGUGUUAUAUAA